rnacentral:rRNA from 1 species
GACGAACGCUGGCGGCGUGCCUAAUACAUGCAAGUUGAGCGCUGAAGGUUGGUACUUGUACCAACUGGAUGAGCAGCGAACGGGUGAGUAACGCGUGGGUAAUCUGCCUUUGAGCGGGGGACAACAUUUGGAAACGAAUGCUAAUACCGCAUAAAAACUUUAAACACAAGUUUUAAGUUUGAAAGAUGCAAUUGCAUCACUCAAAGAUGAUCCCGCGUUGUAUUAGCUAGUUGGUGAGGUAAAGGCUCACCAAGGCGAUGAUACAUAGCCGACCUGAGAGGGUGAUCGGCCACAUUGGGACUGAGACACGGCCCAAACGCCUACGGGAGGAAGCAGUAGGGAAUCUUCGGCAAUGGACGAAAGUCUGACCGAGCAACGCCGCGUGAGUGAAGAAGGUUUUCGGAUCGUAAAACUCGGUUGGUAGAGAAGAACGUUGGUGAGAGUGGAAAGCUCAUCAAGUGACGGUAACUACCCAGAAAGGGACGGCUAACUACGUG